rnacentral:rRNA from 1 species
GUGCCAGCCGCCGCGGUAAUACCGGCAGCCCGAGUGAUGGCCGAUAUUAUUGGGCCUAAAGCGUCCGUAGCUGGCCGAACAAGUCCGUCGGGAAAUCCACGUGCUUAACGCGUGGGCGACCGGCGGAAACUGUCCGGCUUGGGGCCGGAGGACCCGAGGGGUACGUCCGGGGUAGGAGUGAAAUCCUGUAAUCCUGGACGGACCACCAAUGGGGAAACCACCUCAGGAGAACGGACCCGACGGUGAGGGACGAAAGCUAGGGUCUCGAACCGGAUUAGAAACCCUUGUAGUC